AAUUCCGUUUACGUUCGCUGAGUUUGGCGGGUUUUUUUCUUCUUUGUUCGCGCUCUCAUGGAGAUGGAAUACUCUCCUUGAAACUAUGCAGAAAAUCCUUGCAUUACUUACAAAUUACUGACUCGCAACUUGAAGAUUUGACAGGAUACAGCUUAGCGAAAUCUAUGGUAUUGCUGGUGGUAUAAAGUUGAGGCCGAGUAUGGUAACUGAAAUAACGGUGACAUAGUCAAGGAAUCGUGUGGGAGACCCUUUUUACGGAUGUGGGAGGAUCAAACAUCCAAUAUUCUAGAAAUUCAGAUGCACGAUUUCUUGGCUUCGCAGUGCUCAACAUGGACUAGGGAGCUGUUAGCGAUCAGGCGUCUGCCAGAACUUGUUCUCUGAACGGCUGGCCUCUAUUACAAUACAGCGAAGCCUGGUUAGUUUAUUUCCUUCCUCCCCACCCUCUGUUUAUAUAUCUGUCUGUUUUGAAUCAGCGCGCUACAAUUUGCUAGCUCUUUUUGUAACCUUUUAAAACAGGCUAUGCAUGAGAUUCCUGCAAGAGACAAAAAGCAUGAGACGCAGUUGCAACUUACAAAAGGAUUAAAGAAAAAACUGGAAGCGAGAAGCAGGGAAGGGUUAAAAGGUACAACAACUCCCAACAAUUGAUUCUUCUACUAGUUUUUUUCAAAGUUUUUUUCUUCUUCUUUUUCUUUUUUCUUUUUUUUUUUCUUUUUUCUUUUUUCUUUUUUGGCCUUUGAACCAUAACAACUACAAUAUUUUUCCAUCCCUGUGACUGUCUACCUGUGGCUACAAAAGUCCAAAAG